GCAGCCGUGGCCUAGCGUUUAAGGCGUUUGACUAAAAAUCAGAUUCCCUUUGGGAGCGCAGGUUCAAUUCCUGCCGACUGCG